rnacentral:rRNA from 1 species
AAAGGAAUAGACGGGACCCCGCACAAGCGGUGGAUCAUGUUGUUUAAUUCGAUGAUACGCGAAGAACCUUACCAGGUCUUGACAUCCCCUGCAAAGCUAUAGAGAUAUAGUGGAGGUUACCAGGGUGACAGGUGGUGCAUGGUUGUCGUCAGCUCGUGUCGUGAGAUGUUGGGUUAAGUCCCGUAACGAGCGCAACCCCUAUUGCUAGUUGCCAUCAUUAAGUUGGGGACUCUAGCGAGACUGCCAGUGAUAAACUGGAGGAAGGUGGGGAUGACGUCAAAUCAUCAUGCCCCUUAUGACCUGGGCUACAAACGUGAUACAAUGGCUGGAACAAAGGGAAGCUAAGCAGUGAUGUGGAGCGAAACCCAUAAAAACAGUCUCAGUUCGGAUUGAAGUCUGCAACUCGACUUCAUGAAGUCGGAAUCGCUAGUAAUCGUGGAUCAGAACGCCACGGUGAAUACGUUCUCGGGGUUUGUACACACCGCCCGU